UUCAUGUGCUUCAUCUACACAUUUUCAUGUCCCGGCUUCUUCUAAAUGGAAAAUAAAUCAUAAGGAUUACAACAAUAAAAUAAUGGACAUUUCAAGAUUUAUACACAUGGACUGAUUAAUGGCAAAUUCUAUCAUGGACAACUCCAGUUUUGCAGGGAAGAGAUCUCUCUCAAUGGCUCCAUCGUCCUCUGAUUUAUCCAGCCAACGGCCACAAGGGAACUUCAGGCAUUGUCCGAGUGAUGGAGCAUCAAUUUCCACCCAUGCUAGAAACCAGCCAGGGGAGCCACCUAGAAGAAGAGGUGACACUCAAAGUGAAUAGCGUGUUUCACCAGCAAAGUGCUUUACAGAUGUGAACUAAUUAACCUCCCCAAGAGGCCUCUGAAAGAGGCGCUGUACUUGGUUCUUACCUGUGUCAUCUUUAUUUCCAUAAAGAAUGAUGAAGACAUUGGCAUCUGUCCCAGAGUUUUUC